AUGACGUUUGAUACACGCGGACGCCAGACCGGUGGAGGUGGAGGUGGCGGUGGUACCGGUAACGACAAUUCCAAUGUCGGCACGAACAAUACAAACAGCAACUUAAACAGUAAUAGCAGCACCUCACUUGGAUCUACUGGUAGUGUCAGUGGUAUCGGCGGCGGUGGAGGUGGCAAUAGCGGUAGCGUAGAACAACCGCCACCUGCUUCAGUGAAUACAGACGCAACUCCACAGGGUACUGAGGGAAGCGUCACUUCGUCGGCAGUGGACAACAUAACACCAGAAAAGUUAAUAUCAUCGUUCCCAACGUUGAAAUUGCGUUCUCUAACGCAGAAGAUCUCGAAUCCACGCUGGGUGGUACCAGUGUUGCCUGAACAGGAGUUGGAAGUGUUGCUAAAUGCAGCUAUUGCACUAACUGCAGCAGGUGUCGAUCAUGAUUGUGAACCAUGCGUAGAAUUUUAUCGCAACGCUCUAACCACGUCGUUUUCGAAGAUCCUCACCGACGAGGCAGUAAAUUCGUGGAAAUAUAAUAUCCAUCAUUGCAUUUUAUUGUCUUGCGGCAAAUUAUUGCAUUUAAUUGCCAUACAUAUGUCGCGCGAUAAUCCUUAUCUGUUGGAUUUGCUUGCCAUGGUAUUUGAUCCGGAAAAUAAGUUCAACACAUUUAAUGCUGCCCGUCAACCGGCUUGUUUUGCACCUCCGGAAUCGCUCUGGGGUGUCUUGGACGGCAACAAGAUGUUUGCUAAACCCCCGCCAGAGCCUAAAAAUCCUCGAGGCUGGCUAGUUGAUUUGAUCAAUCGUUUCGGUCAGUUGAGUGGUUUUGACAAUCUAUUGGAGCGGUUUAAUUGCGGUUUGCAACUGCUAAAAAAGAACCAAGAGAAUAGCGGCGUCGAGUCGUCGGGUUCUGGCUUAGAUUUGAGAAGCAAGACAAGCAAGUCAUCUCAAGUGUCCGAUGAUAAUCAGGAUAACAAAUUAACACUAGCGCUGAUCUUCAGUCUACUGCGACCAUUCGGCCAAUGUUAUGAGCUGUUGACACCUGCUACCAUCGCUAAGUACUUCAUGCCGAUUUGGAAUGUUGUAUUGGAUUUGUUGGAUAGUUUCUCCGAUGAUGAAUUGAAGCGUGAAGCGAAACCGGAGGGACGCAACGACUACAUUAACGGCAUUGUAAAGUCGGCACGUUUAUUGGCGAGUCGUUUGCCCGGGCAAGAGGAUUUGAUUCGCGAUCUGGAAAUGUUUCGACUAAAAAUGAUAUUGCGUUUGCUGCAAGUUUCAAGCUUCAACGGAAAAAUGAAUGCACUCAAUGAAAUCAAUAAGGUGCUUAGCUCUGUGUCGUAUUAUUCGCAUCGUACGCAGCAAUUGCAACAUUGCUUGCCGGAUGAUGAAAUGGACUGGUUGACGGCAGAACGCAUGGCGAAUUGGAUCAAAGACUCUGAUGUGUUGGGAAUCGUUCUCAAAGACUCAUUGCAUCAGCCCCAAUAUGUGGAAAAGCUUGAAAAGAUCAUACGCUUUUUGAUCAAAGAACAUGCCUUGACUCUGGAGGAUUUGGAUGCCGUAUGGCGUGCACAGGCUGGCAAGCAUGAGGCGAUUGUGAAGAAUGUCCAUGAUCUUUUGGCAAAAUUGGCUUGGGAUUUUACCCCCGAACAGCUGGAUCACCUCUUCGAAUCGUUUCAGGCCAGCAUGACAACCGCCAAUAAGCGGCAGCGCGAACGCCUGCUAGAACUGAUACGACGGCUCGCUGAGGACGAUAAAAACGGUGUAAUGGCACAAAAAGUUUUGAAACUUUUCUGGACGCUCGCACACAGCCAAGAAAUACCGCCAGAAGUAUUAGAUCAAGCCUUAGCGGCCCAUGUAAAGAUCUUGGACUACAGUUGCUCGCAGGAGCGUGAUGCACAAAAGAUUGUGUGGUUGGAUAAAUGCGUACAGGAGUUGAAAACUGGCGACAAUUGGGUGCUGCCAGCCUUGCGGUUGAUACGUGAAAUCUGUUGUCUUUAUGAUUCGUCGCCCAGUCAUGCGCCGCGCACGCAACAAACACUUAAUCGUCAACAAGUGAUAGAAAGAUUGCAAAAUGACUACACUUUGGUUAUACUUGUAACGAAUAGCUUAACCACAUACAUGGAUAAAAUUCGUACGAUGAUUGCUGAGAUGCCGAACGUCGAACCGAAUGCAUUAUGCAUCGAUGGACGUUAUCCACACAAUAUGCAAAUACAAGAGCGAUUGGAUUUUCUCAAAUUCCUGCUGAAGGAUGGCCAGUUGUGGUUGUGUGCCGAACAAGCUAAGCAAAUUUGGCACUGUUUGGCCGUAAAUGCCGUAUUUCCAUCUGAUCGCGAAGAAUGUUUUCGAUGGUUUGGCAAAUUGAUGGGAGAAGAACCGGAUUUGGAUCCAGGCAUAAAUAAAGACUUUUUCGAAAAUAAUAUUUUGCAAUUGGACCCCCAAUUGUUGACGGAAAGUGGCAUCAAAUGCUUCGAACGCUUCUUCAAGGCCGUCAACUCGAAGGAGGAUAAACUUAAAGCAAUUCACCGUGGCUACAUACUUGACAAUGAGGACCUCAUCGGUAAGGACUAUCUGUGGCGAGUGAUCACCACUGGCGGUGAGGAAAUCGCCAAUAAGGCUAUUGAUCUUCUAAAAGAGGUUUCAACAGCACUUGGGCCACGCCUACAGGAGAGCAUUUGUGACUUUCAUGAAAUGUUUAUUGCUGAAUGUUGCGAACGAUUGCGCACUCAUUACAGUAACAUAAUCAUUUUGGGUAAGACAAUUGGCGGCAACAGUUCAAAUGAUCCUAGUCAAGCCGAUGCUGAUUCGAAAGACAUAAAGGAUCGCUUCAUUGAGGCUGAGAAGAUGUGCCGUAUUAUAAAAGUAUUGCAAGAGUAUAUAAAAGAAUGUGAUCGUUCGUUUAAUGGUGAUCGCUAUCUAUUGCCAUUAAGUCGCGUGACUCGCGGCAAAAAUACUAGUCUCUAUAUACGCUUUCAAAAUCCCGGUCGACCCAUUGAUGACAUUGAAGUGACAACACACAGUAACGAAACGGUGGCCUCGUUCAAGCGCAAUCUACUGAAACGCAUCAAAGGCAACUCGCCAGCAAAUAUAAAGGUUGAUUUAUUCUACAAUAAUGGCGAACUGAUUGAGAUUACCGAUGAGAUCAAUCCCCUCUACCAGUACACUAUACGCGACAAAAUGAUUCUCACAGCAAAACUGACACCAAUUGGCCCGGGCCUGGCUAGUAGCCCAGAUUCAUCGAGCGAUUCGAGUACCGGUUCACCGCCACGACCCUGCCCCGACAUGCAGCGCGUCGAGUCAGAAAGCACGCUGCCCGGUGUGAUUAUCGCCCAGAAUUACAAGUAUACUGAGUUUUUCCUAAAGCUCUAUCAACUGGGCAGCGAUCUUGAUCAUGGGCGUUUGCGUGAGAGCGCAAAAUUGCUGCUGCAUUUGCUGCCGUGCGAUUGGCACACAAUAAAGAUGCUGCAGACGAUGUGCCGCGUGCAGGGACAGAUGCAGAGCGGUGGUGGUGGUGGUGGCAGUGCAGCUGUGAGUGUGGGAGUUGGUUCUGGUAGCAGCGCUGUACAAAGUGGCGCCAAAGACGAAGAGGCUGAUGUUGUUGGCGUUGGCUCCGGCAGCGUGGUUAGCAGUGGUGUUGUUAGCGGCAGCACUGGAGUGCAAAACACAACAACAUUUGAUAGUGAUCAACUAAAUCCACAAGAAUGCACGCCAGAAAUGUUAUUCUUGCAUGGUACUCCCGCGCAAGUAUUGUACAACUUGGGUGUUUUGAAUGGCCUACUCAUACCCGCAUUGGAUCCUUACGGCGAGGCGGCACUGCAAGUGCAAUCUGCUUGGCUGCACUCGGGUUGCGCGCAUUUCAUUUUGGAGUUACUAACCAAAAAUAAUUUCCUACCCAAUGCUGAUAUGCACACCAAACGUGCUGCGUUUCAUUGUGUGUUGCGUCUGGCCAGGUUGUUCCUCUACACUGUUGGCUAUGUGCUAUCACGUGUCGGCGACGAGCCAAUGCUUCGUGACUUUGAUGUUGGCGCACGCUCACAAGUCGAAAUACUUAAGCAAAUACUGAGCUCAAUACCGAAUAAUUCGGAGAGCACCAUGCGCGCUAUUUCCACGAAGUUAGCUGAAAUUUUAGCUGCGGAAAUGCUUUCGGCCAGUGCCGAAGGCGAACGCUGUCGCAUCCUAUUUAGUUCGACGUUGCAAUGGUCCUCUCCGGACAUUACGACUAUUAAGGCAGUCAUACAAUUGGCUUGGUCGUCAUCCUGUGGCAAUCUGCAGGCGCUUGGUAAUAAGAAUGACUUCGCUAACGACAUCACAAUGCCGGAUGCACAAGAUUUCGCAAUGUGCAAAGAGGCUUUAGAAGUGCUAACCAUUUCAUUGGUGCUUAAUCCGAGUGCUAACGAGGCGUUGAGUAACGAUCCCAUUUGGCCGAAAUUCAUUACAUCGCUUAUACUAAAGAAUCCAUCGCGCCAUGUGCGUCAAAUAGCAGCUGACCAGCUGUUUCUUUCGUGCACCUAUUGCGCCGGCGACCGACGUCCAUUCGCUUACAUGGUAAAUCUGCUCGUAAAUUCAUUGAAGGUACUGGUGCCGCAAUACGAGGCCACAUGCGCUGACUUCUUUCAACUGUUGUGCCGCACACUCUCGUACGGAAGCGUAUGUAAUUGGCCGCUCAACAUCGGCGAUGGUCUGCUGACUGAGGAGAUCAAUUGGUUGCAAAAGAUACGCGAGAAUGUUUUAGUCACCGGCGAUAUACAGGUGCAUGAAGAUUUGUUGGAGGGACAUCUGUGCUUGGCCAAAGAGUUGAUGUUUUUCUUGUCGCCCGAAACCAAAGCGCAACUUACCGAUCUGAUAGAUGAGGUUAUUGAUAUCUUUCUGUUCCCAUCAUCACGAGAGUAUCUCCACUUGCGAAAGUUCAAUAAGCUGAGGAACCCAACCUCGCCACCACCCGUCUGUCGCAGUCCGCACACCAUAGCAGCGGCUUGUGAUUUGUUGAUAGCACUUUGUCAGAAUUCUGUUCCUAACAUGAAGCUGCUAACUAAUACGCUUAUAGAUUUCGUAUGCACAGAUACGGAGCCGUUACGCGAAUGGGACUUCUUACCGCCAGUUGGGCCGCGACCGAUAAAAGGAUUUUGUGGUUUGAAAAAUGCCGGUGCCACGUGUUACAUGAAUUCGGUGCUGCAACAAUUAUAUAUGGUGCCAUCCAUACGCGUCGGCAUACUGAAAGCUGAUGGCGCUGCUACAAUUGAGAAUGAGGAUUUUAGUGGUGAGUCUGAUGUGGCCAGUAUUAAUAGUGCGUUAUUCUCCAGUCCUGGUAGCGGUGAAGACAAUAGCAGCACUGAUGUGCGAAAAAACUAUCAUGUGGUGAUAUUGAAGUAUGUGCAGGCGAUAUUUGCCCAUUUGGGUCACAGUGCACUGCAAUACUAUGUGCCGCGUGGCCUUUGGGCGUACUUCAAAUUACAAGGCGAACCCGUGAAUUUACGUGAGCAACAAGAUGCUGUUGAAUUUUUCAUGUCACUAUUCGAAAGCCUGGAUGAAGGUCUCAAGGCUUUAGGUCAUACUCAACUAAUGAAUGCCACUUUGGGUGGUUCAUUUAGCGAUCAAAAGAUUUGCCAAGAAUGUCCGCAUCGAUAUUCCAAGGAGGAGCCAUUCAGUGUGUUCAGCGUGGAUAUUCGAAAUCAUAGCUCACUAACCGAAUCGUUGGAGCAGUAUGUAAAGGGUGAACUUCUAGAGGGAGCUGAUGCAUACCAUUGUGAUAAAUGUGAUAAAAAAGUAGUUACAGUUAAGCGGUUGUGUGUAAGAAAACUACCGCCUGUGUUAGCCAUUCAAUUAAAACGUUUCGAAUACGAUUACGAGCGCGUUUGCGCUAUUAAAUUUAACGAUUACUUUGAGUUCCCACGUGUACUCGAUAUGGAACCAUAUACAGUAUCUGGCUUAGCCAAACUGGAGGGUGAAGUCGUCGAGGUGGGCGAUAAUUGCCAAUCAAAUGGCGAAACUACCAAAUAUGAGUUAACUGGCAUUGUGGUACAUAGCGGACAGGCCUCCGGUGGCCAUUACUUUAGUUACAUACUUUCUAAGAAUCCCUCCACUGGUAAGGAGCAAUGGUAUAAAUUCGACGAUGGUGAGGUGAGCGAAUGCAAAAUGCACGAGGAUGAAGAGUUGAAAGCACAAUGCUUUGGCGGUGAUUACAUGGGCGAGAUUUAUGAUAAUAAUUUGAAGCGCAUGCAAUACAGACGUCAAAAGCGAUGGUGGAAUGCAUAUAUGCUGUUCUAUACACGUUACGAUCAAAAGCCUGUACAAUUUGAACCUUGUGUGGAGCAAUUGUCAUUGGCAGAAAGUCGCAAUUUCGUAUUGCCGCUGCCAAAGCCGAUCGAGCGCAGUGUACGCCAUCAAAAUAUACGAUUUUUACACUCAAAGAGCAUAUUCUCUGUGGAAUUCUUCAAUUUCAUUAAGAAAUUAGUUAGCUGCAGUAUUCCUUCAACACGUCCCGAUAAAAUGACACCAGCUGCUGAAGAACUUUCAUUGUUGGGUGUGCAAUUAGCAUCGCAAUUCUUAUUCCACACAGGUUUUAGAACGAAAAAAUCGCUGCGUGGACCUGUUAUAGAAUGGUAUGAUACACUAUCACAUCACAUUCGCUUCUCCUCAUUGGUGCGCAAAUGGUUUGCAAAUAAUGCGCUUCUCAAUCCUGCGUCUCGUCUCGGCGAAUAUAUCUUAAUGGCUCCAUCACCGGAGGUACGCACUGUAUUUGUAAAGUUGGUAGUUUUCUUCUGCCACUUUGCUAUAGCCGACGAGCCGCUGGCUGGCUACGAAGGCAGCAAUCUGUGUGAACAGAUUUUGAUUAGCGUAUUGGAACUGCUGAAGUGUGAGGCUGUCGACUAUGGCAAGCAUUUGCCACACUACUUCAGUUUAUUCAGCAUGUACGUGGGCUUGGGUAUACCAGAAAAGCAGCAGUUGUUGAAGUUGAAUGUGCCCUUUAUAUUCAUGCAAGUCGCUUUGGAUGAAGGUCCUGGUCCAUCGAUAAAAUACCAGUAUCCCGAACUGAGCAAGUUGCAUCAGGUCGUUUCGCAUUUAAUACGUUGCAGCGAUAUCUCUGACAAGUGCCAGAAUUCGAAUCAAAAUGCACAACCUCUUGAGAAUCCAUACAAAGAUCCAAAUAUAAGGCGCGAGGAGCUCAUGCCAUUAUCGCCAGAAUGUGCGGACAUACUCUUUAAUCGUACUGGUUACAUUAAGAAGCUAAUAGAGGACACAGCUGUUGGUGAGGAAGGUAUCAAGCUACUACAGUACUGCAGCUGGGAAAAUCCACAUUUCUCACGUGCCGUACUAACAGAACUGCUGUGGCAAUGCGGUUUCGCUUAUUGCCACGAUAUGCGCCAUCACACCGAACUGUUGCUGCAUAUAUUACUAAUCGAGGAUUCGUGGCAACAUCAUCGCAUACAUAAUGCGCUCAACGGUGUAGCGGAGGAGCGCGAAGGCUUGCUGGAGACGAUACAGCGCACAAAGACACAUUAUCAAAAGCGCGCAUACCAAAUAAUCAAAUGCCUUACACAACUAUUCCACAAAUCACAGGUGGCCCUACAGAUGCUGAACUCGAACGCCAGUAUCGCACGGCACUGGACCAUGGCAGUGGAAUGGUUGCAAGAUGAAUUGGAACGGCAACGUAGUUGUCAAUACAAUUCAUAUUCGUGGUCACCACCCGCACAGAGCAAUGACAACACAAAUGGCUACAUGCUCGAACGUUCACAAUCUGCCAAGAAUACAUGGUCCAUGGCGUAUGAAUUAUGCCCUGAAGAGGAACAAGAAGAGACCAACGAGUCGGAUAUCGAGCCAACCGAUGAGACGCAACGACAGCAACAACAAAUUACACAAACCCUGCAGACACCCGCCGUGGGUGAUGCGCUUACAAGUGAUACAGUACCGGCAAGUCCAGCACACAAACCGUUUAUUGUGGGCAUGGCUCCGGGUUGCACCAUUGACUGGUCUGCUGCGAAUACAUUUUCGGUUGAUAGUCAAACAGCAACAACUACGACCACUUCUACCACAAGCAGUGGAAGUGGUGUUGGCGUCGGCGUCGGCGUCGGCAUUGGUGUUGGCGGCGGAACUAGCAGUAGUGUUGUGACAGCUGUAAAUAGCACUGAACCACAGCAAGCCGCAACAGAUGCGAAUAUAAAUGGCUUGACGGCGAACGUGAAGCAGCUGGCACUCUCUCCAAAAACGGUAAUUCCCCCCUAAAAGUCGACAGUAGCAUUUCUAAUGUACUCGUACACUCCUAAGCAUACCAGAGCAGCGGUCCACCAGCGGCGGCAUUGGUGAGACGACAAUGACUUCAAUGACGACGAUGAUGACUGGCCAAGACAUCGAAAACUCAAAGCAAG
rnacentral:misc_RNA from 1 species